rnacentral:rRNA from 1 species
AACGAAUGCUGGCGGCAGGCCUAACACAUGCAAGUCGAGCGAGGACUUCGGUCCUAGCGGCGGACGGGUGAGUAACGCGUGGGAACGUGCCCUUUGCUUCGGAAUAGCCCUGGGAAACUGGGAGUAAUACCGGAUGAGCCCUUUGGGGGAAAGAUUUAUCGGCGAAGGAUCGGCCCGCGUUGGAUUAGGUAGUUGGUGGGGUAAUGGCCUACCAAGCCGACGAUCCAUAGCUGGUUUGAGAGGAUGAUCAGCCACACUGGGACUGAGACACGGCCCAGACUCCUACGGGAGGCAGCAGUGGGGAAUCUUAGACAAUGGGGGAAACCCUGAUCUAGCCAUGCCGCGUGAGCGAUGAAGGCCUUAGGGUUGUAAAGCUCUUUCAGCUGGGAAGAUAAUGACGGUACCAGCAGAAGAAGCCCCGGCUAACUCCGUG